rnacentral:rRNA from 4 species
UACGGAGGGUGCAAGCGUUAUCCGGAUUUAUUGGGUUUAAAGGGUCCGUAGGUGGGCUGAUAAGUCAGCGGUGAAAUCCUGCAGCUUAACUGUAGAACUGCCGUUGAUACUGUUAGUCUUGAGUGUAUUUGAAGUGGCUGGAAUAAGUAGUGUAGCGGUGAAAUGCAUAGAUAUUACUUAGAACACCAAUUGCGAAGGCAGGUCACUAAGAUACAACUGACGCUGAGGGACGAAAGCGUGGGGAGCGAACAGG